CUGGACAUCUCAUGAAUGCUUGCUUCUGCCUUAUGAGCAAUCACUUACUAGAAAGGAUUCAACUUCUGGCCUUUACUAUGAUUGCUCUGCUCACAUGCUAUGGGUUGGCGAGCGUACCCGCCAACUGGAUGGUGCUCAUGUAGAAUUCCUAAGAGGAGUUGCUAAUCCCCUUGGCAUCAAGGUUUCCAUCUGCACUGCAAACUUUCUUAUCCUUUUGAUUAAUGAAGCUACUAUUACUUAAAGAAUGAGUGUAGUGUAGACCUAUUUUUAUUCACCAUCUUGUUGCAUCAUCCACUAAUUUUCAUGUGCAUCACUUGAAACAAUUAUAGGUAAACUCAGUGGAAACAUCACUUCUAUUUUACAAGAUUCUGUAAAAUUAUUUAAAUUUCUUAAGCUAUGCAUUUUGAUAUUAAGCUUUUGCAACUCUUAUUAUUUCAGAAUAUUCUGUAUUAUUUAAAAAAAUCUUGGAAUCUUUACAGUUAAUUACAUAGUGAUGGCUAUUCAUUUUUUUCUUUUUUUCCUUUUGACAUACAAUGCUUUCUCCCAUUCAAGUUCAUUCUUUCAGUUGCAUGAUGCUGACACAUGCUUUCUUUUUUCUUCUUGACAUGCAUUACUUCUUCCUUUCAAGUUCAUUUUUUAAUUUUCCCAAUUUUAUUUGUAAUAAAUUUCCUCAAAUUUUUCUCAAAAAUAGUAAGUUUGGCUGCAAGCCAAGAUGAACGUCCUCUAGUCUGAUCUCGUUAGGCUAAUGCUCUUAUGUCACCUGUCAUAGUACUAGGUCUCUCACAACUAUGGUAAACAAGAUUGGUCUUCAACCACAACUGAAAGAUUCACAUUUUACAUGUCUUGGCUGUCUGAUUUUGUUAGCAUUACCUUUAUCAGAUCUCCAGAAUUUGUAGGAAGUCCAUACCCAUUAUUGGUACUGAAUAACUAAUAUGAAUGGAGAAGUUGGUGUCUCACAUGUGAUUAUUGCCUCGUUUUGUUGCUAUAGCAUUCUUGGUUCAGUUGUGGUUUCAUAGGUAGAAAUUUGAACUUGUACUUGAUGUCCAUGAACAGUACUGAAUGGAUCCAUUGUAGUCCUGAGUUGUUUGAAAAUUACAUUAACAAUGAAUUUCUUACUUGGAGUUUUUUUUUUUUUUUUUGAUUUGUUGUAACUGUACAGGAAAUAAGCUUACUUUAUCUCUAUGAUGUCCAAUGAUCUGUUGACAUUAAUUUGAUAUGUACAUUCUUGAGAAGUUGGGUAGCUAAAAUGGAACUUGUUGUGCAGGUGAGCAAUAAAAUGGAUCCAAAUGAGCUAGUCAAACUCGUUGAAAUCCUGAAUCCUCAUAACAAGCCAGGAAGAAUCACAGUGAUCUGCAGAAUGGGAGCUGAGAACAUGAGAGUCAAGCUUCCCCAUUUGAUCAGGGCUGUUCGUCAGGCAGGGCAAAUUGUGACUUGGGUCUGUGAUCCCAUGCAUGGAAACACCAUCAAGGCACCCUGUGGACUAAAAACACGUCCUUUUGAUGCAAUUUUGGUAAUUUUCUCUCUCGCCAGCAUUAAAUUGGUUACCCAAAAUUCCAGGUCCCUAUAGUUAGAAGUCAAUAGGAACUAGGCCUUUGGAAACCACAUGGAAAUGAAAAUAUACAAUUUCUAUCUCUACAACAUAGGACCAAAGGCAGUCUUCAACCAACUGAUUGAAAUGCUAACAAGAAGCAAAAUGAUGUCUCUUAUGAAGAUUAUGAAUAACUUUUGAUAAAAUGGGGACAUAUGAAAAUUUCAUGUAAAAUGAACUAGAAAUGUUAUGACAUCUAAAAUUCCAUACCUCUGGUAGGUGAACAUUCUGAAACAUAAACAAUCGCCCAAAGAAGGAUAAGAGGUCUAGUAUUAAUAAUUUUAUGUCAAAUCAAUGUGGUAAUUAAUCUGCUGUGGUCCUGGUUAACUGGGCAUGUAUGCGUACAAAGUAUUAAGAGUAAACUUCAGAGCGAUGAGAAUGGUACUUUAACUUAAAUGAGUUUCCAAGAAAUUGGAUUCAAGUAGAAUGUUUUUGUUAUUCAUGGGUUAUAUCUGGGUCUUGAUAAUGCUACUUUUUGCAGGCUGAGGUGCGAGCCUUCUUUGAUGUGCAUGAGCAAGAGGGAAGCCACCCUGGAGGAGUUCAUCUAGAGAUGACAGGCCAGAAUGUGACAGAGUGCAUUGGAGGGUCUAGGACAGUGACCUUUGAUGAUCUGAGCUCUCGCUACCACACCCAUUGUGAUCCUAGGCUCAAUGCUUCACAAUCUCUUGAGCUAGCAUUUAUCAUUGCAGAGCGGCUUAGAAAGAGAAGGAUGGGAACUCAACGUUUGCUUGCUUUAGGUCUGUAGACAACUGUCAGAGCACCCUGUCAUUUCUGAAUUACUGGAGAUCUUGUAUUUGGUAGGCAAUAAAUUCAGUGGUUGGCCUUCCUUAACCCUUGUGUUCCGGCCAUCAAUUACUGCUGUAUUAUAGUUUGGCAAUUUCUUUUCAUUUAAUAUUAUGCUGAUGCUGCAUCCUGUGAAUGGAAGCGGCAAAAGCAAAGCUGUUCUGGAUUAGCCUAUUGAAUUUACUAUCUAUUAAUAUCUGGAUCUGGGUUCAUUCAUGCAUUUAUGCAUUUAUGCGUGUAUGUAUUUUGAACAAGUUUCAAGAAUGAAAUAAAGGCAAAGGCCAGUGCGCCUGUUUCAGAGAGAUGAAGAAGUGUGCAUGGCUAUUAUGGU
rnacentral:lncRNA from 1 species